UACGUAGGGCGCAAGCGUUAUCCGGAAUUAUUGGGCGUAAAGAGCUCGUAGGCGGUUUGUCGCGUCUGCCGUGAAAGUCCGGGGCUCAACUCCGGAUCUGCGGUGGGUACGGGCAGACUAGAGUGAUGUAGGGGAGACUGGAAUUCCUGGUGUAGCGGUGAAAUGCGCAGAUAUCAGGAGGAACACCGAUGGCGAAGGCAGCACUCUGGGACGGUACUGACGCUGAGACGCGAAAGCGUGGGGAGCGAACAGG
rnacentral:rRNA from 1 species